UACGGGGGGGGGUAAGCGUUGUUCGGAAUUACUGGGCGUAAAGGGCUCGUAGGCGGCCAACUAAGUCAGACGUGAAAUCCCUCGGCUUAACCGGGGAACUGCGUCUGAUACUGGAUGGCUUGAGUUCGGGAGAGGGAUGCGGAAUUCCAGGUGUAGCGGUGAAAUGCGUAGAUAUCUGGAGGAACACCGGUGGCGAAGGCGGCAUCCUGGACCGACACUGACACUGAGGAGCGAAAGCCAGGGGAGCAAACGGG
rnacentral:rRNA from 1 species